CGACCAUCUGUUCCCACAGGGGAGGCAGGGAGAGAGGGGACGGUUAAUGCUUCUCGCCGUUCUCGCUGCGCGCGGGGACUCCAGGCGGGGCUGGGCUCCGGAGGGGCACCCCACGCCGCCGGGGUCCUUCACCCUCCCCUCUGACCUCUGGUCGUGGCUCAGGAAGGUGGGCUUUGCUCGUGUCCUGAGGACCAAGGCGUCCCGCACUCCUGCCAUGGCCCCGACACAGGAGAAACACCCAGUCCUGCUCCCCAUCAGCCCCCUCCCCUCGCCUCCCCACCCCGACCAGUCCAGCUCAGAGCACGCGCAGGGACUGCAGGGCCCGCCCGGCCGCAGCCCUGCCAGGUCGCUGCUCGGAACUCGAGCACGUUCUGCAAGAAGUCAGGCCUGGGGAGACGGUUUUGUCCUGACACAGCUGGGCUCCUGGGAGCACAGACCCACUCAGCUGUGGAACGAUUUCGUGAAGUCUGGUUGCAGGAGUCGGAAUGACCUCCUACACGGCCCGAGAGCCCAUACCGGUGACACCCUCCUGAAGGCCUUCUAGACUGCAUUCUGCACCCUGCAUGCCAGGUGUGAACUGGCAUACGGGCAUGUCUCACACACGUAUGAGCUCGCACACGGGUGUAUCCCCCCAUACAUGUAAACACACACAGGCGUACCACACAUGUAUAAACACACAUGGGAAAACCAUACACAUGUGUACCACACACACACACACACACACACACACACACACACACUGUAUAUAAACUCACACAUGGCAUAUCACACAGAAACUUCUACAUCUCUAGUCCUCUGAGGGCCUGGGAACAGACACAGCACAGCACCAACAAGCGCCCUGGGUCCCUGGACACUGAUCUAGAAAUACCUUUCGCCACAAAAAGCAACCAGGGAAACCUGGGGAGGCAACCGAUUCUAGAGCUGGGCUGGAAAAAUACAGGACAAAUCCAGAAAAUGUUCACGUGCUGGGGAGCAGAAGUGUAACAGGAGCCGUGGGGACGGGGGUCCCGUGGGCCAGACCUCGGCGGAACAGACUGUUGGUGGUAAAGCAGGAAAACACGGGUCUGUUCAGAUACAGACGUAGAGGUGAACUGAAAACCUGAUGAGCGAUGAGACUCUUUGGUGGUUUUGAAGAAUCUCAUCACAAAACACGCAUUAGUUACAGACGGAGAGUCCCCUCGCAGUGGGGCCCAGCAAGCACCCUGGAGGUGAACGUCACCGGUACGCGCACAGUGGGACAUCGCUCAGCCGAGGGGCGGAAGGAGCUCCUGCCGUAUGCAGGGACACAGAUAAACAAAAGCUGAGAAUUCUAUGCCAGGAGACCCACCCUACAGGGAACAUUACAGAAUGUUCUUAAGACUAAAGGAAGCGACACAAGAUGAAAACUCAGGAGGUCGGGAAGGACAAGGGCACUAGCGCUGGUCGGUAGGAAACGGUUUCCUCUCCACUCACAUUCCUGAUCGCAGACAUUUCUGUCUUAUUCCUUGCAGAUUUUGAAAAGUGUUCUAAAUUCAGAAUAACUUAAACCACGUAGAACUGAUUGACAAAAGAAAAACAGAAAUGGAACAGAACUUUGGAAUUUCUGCAUACGAUAUAAUCAAUCAGUAUAAAAAUGGGUUUAAAAGCUUAUUGAUAUUAAACAAACUUAAAGGGA